rnacentral:rRNA from 1 species
UACGUAGGUUGCAAGCGUUAUCCGGAAUUAUUGGGCUUAAAGGGUGCGUAGGUGGUUAAGUAUGUCUAGUGUGAAAGGUUGCAGCUUAACCGAAGAAAGGCAGGAGAAACUGAAAAGCUUGAGUGCGGUCGGGGCAGGGGGAAUUGCUGGUGUAGCGGUGAAAUGCGUAGAGAUCAGGAGGAACACCGAUUGCGAAGGCACCCUGCUAGGCUGUAACUGACACUGAGGCACGAAAGCUUGGGGAGCGAAUGGG